rnacentral:lncRNA from 10 species
UUGAACAGCUUUCUCUUUUCUUAUUUCUUGCCCCACUUUCUGCUUGUAAAAAGGCCUAGAGGUAAGCAGCCCUGGACUGUUGCAGCUACUCAAGAAGGUGUGGCCUUUGCUUCCUGGCACUCAGAUGGCAGCUGACCUCUAGGUAUGCAUCAUUCACAUCUGAGACAGGAAAGAGAGGGAAGGACCAAGGGUGGUUCCCGUCAUUGGCUCAAGCUAUGGGAGAGGGCGUGUGAGACCCAGGCCUUCCGGAGGCUUCCAGAGUUAAAGCACUCCCACGGACAGGAGACAGAACUGCCUGUGGAGAAUUGCAUUAUAGCCAAGCGCCGGGAUAUAUAUUUAUCUGUGCCUGACAUUCUCAUCUCUUUUUAAAGGAAAAGAUUGCUUCUAGUUGGAGAACCACGUGUUUCCAGUGAGGGAGAUUCUUCUUUCCAGCUUCAGAUGUUGAACACAAGACCUGGCUUGGCCAAUCAGGGCAAGCCAUCCCCCUGGGCACAGUGAUUGGCUCAGGCCCACCCCGAGCUGGACCAAUCAGAGUGAAGAGUGAGACUUUGGCCAGGAAUGCUGAAACAAAGACUGAGCCUUAGUGUUGGAUUUGAAGGAAGAAGCCCCAGGAGCUGCUGAGAGCUGUUUUAUAACCAUGAGGUCAAACUUUAUAGCAAGACAAAGCCAGAAUGUUCAGGUGAAGAAGCAGAGAAUGGCUGUGUGAGUUUCCUAGGCUGUCGGAACAGAGAGCCACAAACUGGGUGUCUUCAAUCCAUACAAAUGUAAUUAUCUCACAGUUCUGGAAGCUGGAAGUCUGAAAUCAAGGUGUCAGCGGGGCUAUGCUUCCUCUAAAGCCUCUAGGUAGGAAAUUCCUUGCCUCUCCAGCCAUGUAAAAUGUGCCUCCUUCGUCUUCUCAUUCUGCCAUGAUUGUAAGUUUCCUGAGGUCUCCCCAGCCACGCUUCCUGAACAGCCUGCGGAACGGU